AGGCUGAAACUUAAAGGAAUUGAC
rnacentral:ncRNA from 3 species